UCGGGAAUUUUGCCCAAUGGACGAAAGUCUGAGGCAGCAACUCCGCGUGAGGGACGAAGGCCUUCGGGUCGUAAACCUCUUUUCUCAGGGAAGAUCCAAGACGGUACCUGAGGAAUAAGCCACGGCUAACUACGUGCCAGCAGCCGCGGUAAUACGUAGGUGGCGAGCGUUUUCCGGAUUUACUGGGCGUAAAGAGCGCGCAGGCGGCUGGUCAAGUCCGAUGUGAAAGCUCCCGGCUUAACUGGGAAAUUGCAUCGGAAACUGAGCGGAUGGAAGGUGGGAGAGGGUAGCGGAAUUCCCGGUGUAGUGGUGAAAUGCGUAGAUAUCGGGAGGAACACCAGUGGCGAAAGCGGCUACCUGGCCCAUUCUUGACGCUGAGGCGCGAAAGCUAGGGGAGCAAACGGG
rnacentral:rRNA from 1 species